ACUAAGCCAGGACUAAAUAAAAAAUCAUUUGUAUUACACUUCUGACAGAGUUAUGUUUUGUAAUGUAUUUAUUAUUAUAUGUUAAGUCUUAAAUAUGCAUAAUUGUGAGUACCACAGUUUUAAGGCCAGAGUCGGAAAAUAUCAAAAGAUUUAUAGCCUUAUUAGUUGUUGAAAACAAUUUAAUUAUCAUUUGUAUUAUGAGUUAAUCAUAUAUGCAAAAUCAGAUUAAUUUAUUAUAAAAAGCUACACAAAAGACACAAUCGGUCAUUACUUUUCUAGGAAUAGUGUAUUCUCUUGUACGCUAUAUGCCUCCGGACGUACAAACCUUUUUUAGUAUUCAGAAAGUUUUUGAUAAUUUGUAUUUUAACUAAAGCUAACAUUGUAUACUGAUAAUACUCGCCUUUUGGAUUGUUACCUAAUUUGUGCUAGUACCAGCUAUUUUGUGUUCGUUUCAGGUGUCUUGUGCCCGUCUUAUAUUAACAUGUAAAAUAAAUAAAUGUAUUGAUAAAAAACUUAUACCUUAACAUAAUAGACAAAGACUGGCCUCUAAAUGGCUAGAUUCCCCAGCAUAAGCAUUUUAUACAUUUAAAUCGUUUGGUAAUUUUCCACAUUCUAUUCAAGGAGUCGAUUCCAACUAUACUCCCGAUAUAACUAAUCAGUCCAGAACUUACAUACUUCCAAGUUAAUGUAACUCCACUAAGUGAUAUAAGGGAUUUGAUUAUUCCUAAUUGUGAAAACUUUUUUUGCUUGUUUUGUAAUAAAUUGCAAUCAAAAUUCGUUCGUCACUUCCAUAAUAAUAAGCCACAAGUAAAAAAGUGUUAAUGCCUGUCGAAAAAUGAAAAAACUUGAAAAGUAGUUAUUAAUGAGAUUUGGAGUAAUGGCGAUUAAAUCGACAAUAUCGAUGCAUCGUUAAAUAGCGAAAUUUUAAAGCGAAUUAACUCUAAAAACGAAUAUGUUGUCAUAUGUUGCAAGGGAUGUUCUGGAUUUUUUCCCCAAAAGUACAAUACGCAGUCAUAUAAAUAAUUGCAUAGGCGGCGAUCAUAAGAAAGGAACUCCUGACUUGCUUAAGCAAGGUCGCUCUAAAACCGGCUCUAUGCAUAAAAGUGCAAGUGACGUUCUCUUGCAAGCUAUAUGCCUCCUGACGUAUUUAAACCGUUUUUGUUAAUUUUUUUAUUUAUUUACUAAGGCUAUUUUUAUAUACUUGAUGUUACUCAAAUUUUAUUUUGUUAACUGAUUCGUGUUUAUUCCAGCUAGUUUGUGUUCGUUUCAACUGUCUUGUGCUCGUCUUAUAUUUAUAUAUUUCUAACAAAGAUGCAUCCGAACAAUUUAUAAACACAACUCAAAAUACAUCGGCUAAUAGUGGAUCUUUAGGAUAGGAUAGAUUCAUCGGCAAAAAAUCAAAAUCAUUCCACGAUAAACGAUUCAUUUCAAUCGCUUAAUACUAAUUGUCCAGAUUCCACGCAAGGAUUCGAUUCCAGUUAUGCUCCGGAUAUAACUAACCGGUCCAGCAUUUUAAAUAAUUCCAACAUUAAACAAGUUUUUUCUUACACAACCCUUUUUUAAAACCCAAACAAAUUGUAAGAAACAUUUUUGCUUAUUUUGCAAUAAAUUGCAAACAAAAUUUGCUCGUCACUUGCAGAUUGUUCAUAAAAAUGAGCUGCAAGUACAAAAAUGUUUGUUCCUGUCGAAAAAUGACAAAACUCGCAGAUUACUUAUUGAUGAGAUUAGGAAAAAUGGUGAUUAUAUCCAUUAUAUCGAUGCAUCGUUAAAUAACGGAACUCUAAUCGUGCCUCGUCAAAAGCGUGUAAACUCUAAAAACGAAGCGGUUGAUUUCAUAUGUGGCAAGGAAUGUUCCGGAUUUUUCCCCAAAAGCACAAUACGGAGUCAUAUUAAUAAUUGCAAAGGGAGCGAUCAUAAGAAAGGAACUCGUGACUUGCUUAAACAAGGUCGCUCCAAAACUUGCUUCAAAACGGCUUCAUCCAUAAAAGUGCAAAUGACGUUGUGCGCACAAAAAUAAUGCCUGUUUUAAAUGAUGAUCCCAUUUCUAGAAAUCUUAUAUAUGAUGAAUUGAUUGUUUUAUUCGCAAACGCAGAAUCUAUGAAGCACGGCGAACUUCAGUACGAUAUGAUCAGAGCAAACAUGAGAUUGCUCAGCAGACUUUUACAUGAAAUAAAAAAAUCAGAAUCUAAUGAGAUACAGGAACUUAUAGACGCCAUUAAUCCCAAACAUUUGGAUUUGAUGAUAUCUUGUAUCAGAAAAGUGGCUCAGUGGGACUCUUCUUCGAUGUUUUUUAAAACACCUUCAGUUGCAACGAACCUUACAACUCUAAUUAAAAAGUGCGCAAAAAUAUUGUGGACUCAUUGCAUUAAAACACAAAAUCAUGCAAAAAAAAAUUAAUUAAAGAUUUUCUUGUUCUAUGGGAAACCGAAAUUCCUCUUUUUAUAAACAAAAAAGCUAUAGAGGACCAGUCAAAGAAAAAAAGAGCCCUACCAACUAUUUUACCAUGUAAAGAAGACAUCAAAAAACUGUUUGAUUAUGUGAUAAAAAAAUCGGAAAGCGCUCUGAGUGUGCUAAAAAUUAAGUUUGAUUUUUUAUCAUGGACAUCGUUGAUACAAAGCACACUAAUUGGCCUUCAAAUUUUUAACCGCCGUAGAGCCGGUGAAUUUGAAAGACUAACAAUUGAGAACUAUCUAACAGGGCACACCAUCGAUGAAAAUGUAGAUAAAUAAAACUUCGAACGUCUCACGAAAGAAACUAGAGAAAUCGCUCAAAAAUACACAAGAUUGACUAUUCGUGGAAAACUCAAUCGAACUGUGCCAGUGCUGCUCACACCGUUUGACAAUUAUUGUAUAGAAACUAUUCUCAAACAUCGUAAAAGAGCUGGUGUUAAAAAAAAUAAUGAUAACAUAUUUAGCGUGCCUAACGCCAAGCCCUUAGCAAAGCAAUAUGUAAGGGCUUGUCCGAUUCUACAGAAAUUUGCCCAGGAAUGUGGGCCUCGCUGCCCAGGGGCUUUACGGGGAACGAUGCUUCGAAAGCAUUUAGCUACCUAUACAUCGAUGCUUAACGUCAAAGAUUUCCAAAUUGAUAGGCUUGCCAAUUUUAUGGGUCAUCAUAAAGAUAUACAUAAAGAAAUCUACAGAAUCCCUGUAACAGUAGCGGAGAUAGCCGAAGUAUCCCAGAUGCUUAUGGCAGCUCUUGGAAAUAAUGUUGAGGAUGAAAACACAGUAGCCCUUGAUCAGUUCGAAGAAAGUAAGUACAUAGAUUCAUCAAGUUUGUGGGUGAUACUAAGAGUAGUUAUGGUGAAAAAUGUAAUAUCUUAACUUAACUAAUAAUUACUUGUCCGGCUUAUUGUGAAUGUUUUUACAUUGUACCUGAAAUCCAUUUUGCAAAUGAUCCUUUAGAGGAUUCGGAAUCAGAUUAUUCUGAACAGCGAUCAGAAAGCGACUUCAAUAUUUCCGAUGAUGACAUUAUAGAAAUAUCGAAUAAAAAAGGAAAGCGCCCAAGUAGUAAGUAUUAAAUUGCAACCUACAUAUUUAUGUCACGUGCUUACAUGCAUUGCGUUUAGGCUAUCCUAUUUAUCCUCAUGGACAAAGUAAAAAGAGUUAUCGUGCUUGUGAAAUGUCCGAUCGUCUGUUCAAACGAACGCGAUAUUUUGCUGGCCCAUUAAAGUUAUAUCAACGAGAAGUAAAGUGCUAAAAUUAUAUAAUGACGACUACUGCGGCGUGGAUCAUCAUUUGGAAAAACCAUAAGAAACCGUUGGUCGAAUGAAGAGCGUGAAGAAAUAUACCAGGCUUUUGGAGACCUGUUGUCUCUUAAAGGAUUGCCGUCGCUUAAGCAAUGCAACGCAGUUAUAAAUAAUUCUACAUAUCUAAAAUGUAGGACACCGGCGCAAGUAAAAACAUGGAUAGAUAAUCAGCGCAAGGCUAAAUCAAGAAAAUCAACUCCGCAAACAGAUUGAAUAAUGAGCAUGUUGACCAUAUUUAGAACUAACUUGACUAUACUUUUUCGUAUUUUUUUAUGUUAAUAUUAAUUUAUGCUAAGAAU